rnacentral:rRNA from 1 species
AUGAACGCUGGCGGCGUGCCUAAUACAUGCAAGUCGAGCGAACAGACGAGGAGCUUGCUCCUCUGACGUUAGCGGCGGACGGGUGAGUAACACGUGGAUAACCUACCUAUAAGACUGGGAUAACUUCGGGAAACCGGAGCUAAUACCGGAUAAUAUAUUGAACCGCAUGGUUCAAUAGUGAAAGACGGUUUUGCUGUCACUUAUAGAUGGAUCCGCGCCGCAUUAGCUAGUUGGUAAGGUAACGGCUUACCAAGGCAACGAUGCGUAGCCGACCUGAGAGGGUGAUCGGCCACACUGGAACUGAGACACGGUCCAGACUCCUAAGGGAGGCAGCAGUAGGGAAUCUUCCGCAAUGGGCGAAAGCCUGACGGAGCAACGCCGCGUGAGUGAUGAAGGUCUUCGGAUCGUAAAACUCUGUUAUUAGGGAAGAACAAAUGUGUAAGUAACUAUGCACGUCUUGACGGUACCUAAUCAGAAAGCCAAGGAUAACUACGUG